rnacentral:rRNA from 1 species
GUUUUAGCGGCGGACGGGUGAGUAACGCGUGAGCAACCUUUCNCUCAGCGGGGAAUAACACAGGGAAACUUGUACUAAUACCGGCAUAAGACCACAGAGGGGCAUCCUUCAGGGGUCAAAGAUUUAUUGCACAUAGAUGAGCUCGCGUCCCAUUAGAUAGUUGGUGAGGUAACGGCCCACCAAGGCGACGAUCAGUAGCCGGACUGAGAGGUUGAACGGCCACAUUGGGACUGAGAUACGGCCCAGACUCCUACGGGAGGCAGCAGUGGGGAAUAUUGGGCAAUGGGCGCAAGCCUGACCCAGCAACGCCGCGUGAAGGAAGAAGGCUUUCGGGUUGUAAACUUCUUUUGUCAGGGAAGAGUAGAAGACUGUACCUGACGAAUAAGCCACGGCUAACUACGUG